AUUGAACGCUGGCGGCAUGCUUUACACAUGCAAGUCGAACGGUAACGCGGGGGCAACCCUGGCGACGAGUGGCGAACGGGUGAGUAAUACAUCGGAACGUGCCCAUUUGUGGGGGAUAGCCCGGCGAAAGCCGGAUUAAUACCGCAUACGUCCUACGGGAGAAAGCGGGGGAUCGAAAGACCUCGCGCUAAUGGAGCGGCCGAUGCCAGAUUAGCUUGUUGGUGGGGUAAAGGCUUACCAAGGCAGCGAUCUGCAGCUGGUCUGAGAGGACGACCAGCCACACUGGGACUGAGACACGGCCCAGACUCCUACGGGAGGCAGCAGUGGGGAAUUUUGGACAAUGGGGGCAACCCUGAUCCAGCAAUGCCGCGUGUGUGAUGAAGGCCUGGUGUAAGCACUUUGUGGUACGAACAGUACCGUGCUAAUACCAUGACGAAUAGACGGUACCGCCAGAAUAAGACACCGGCGUAACUACGUAGCCACGCAGCCGCGG
rnacentral:rRNA from 1 species